rnacentral:lncRNA from 1 species
ACGAGAUGCAAUGGCGGCGCCCAUGAAAAAACAUUGCGAAUGCCGAUUAAAAAAACAAAAACAAUGAUAAACGUUACACAUUAGAAUUAACAGUCUAUCGUGUGAUCAUAUGGUACGAUGGGCGCCAGAAAAUUAUCAUUUAUUGUGCUAACAAGACCUGUCGGCUCUGAAUAUGCUGUGAAUAGCCCAAAACAUCCGGGUUGACGUCAUUUCGACAUGUACAAUGAUCAGAUGAUAUAGAAAAAGUAGGCAUCGAAAACAACGAUUGUCCACGAAACGCUUGAUUUAGCAAUGGUCUGUGUUGAUGUUAUUUUCUUUGAAAGCAAAUUGUCAGUAAUCUGCAGCCAUUCAGCUACUGUACCAGAAACUUGAAGAAAGGCGUAAAAAGUGAGCUGCCAUUACCAAAGUACCUCAGAUAUGUAGUAGGAACCAUGACAUUCAGGCAUUUCUGUUCUGUUGAAAUAAUAUUUGAGCUGGAACCAUGACAUGAAAGAAGACCUUAGGAAAUAUAUGCAAGUGGAGAUUGAGACAUAAAAUUUGUAAAAUGAAAAGACAUAUGAAGCAAAUAGCAAGUUCUGAAUGCUUCAGACUAACUAUUGGUAGACUUUCGAUGAUUUACUGCAAACAUAGGGCAAAAAGACUCGGAUACAAAUGUAUCAUAACAAUGCUUACAUGCCAAACUUCCAGGGUACCUAUACAGGAGAAUUUCACAGAAAGACCAGGAGAUUUAGAAUUUACAUUGUACCUAGUUUAAUAGUAUAAUUAAAAAGAUAGUUCUGAAUUCUUUUUAGCAAAUCUAAUUCAUUUUUAAAUCUACAAGGUAUUGUCAUCAUUUGUUGAUCUUUGUCAGCUUUGGUCUUGGUUAACAUUUUUGCUUAUGUUCCUCUUUUCUUCGAAACUAUAAGAAAUAUAGCUUUUAAACUUGGUUCACCUGCUUAUCAUCAUUAGAUCACCAAGAGUCAUAAUUCCCACUUCUGUCACUUUUUGGCAGAAUUAUGACCCCUUGUGUACCUAGAAAAUUGGAAUUUCUUGGUUAAAUAUUUGGUUAAAUUAAAUGUUUCAUACUUUAAGAGCUAUAGCUUGAAACUUUAUAUACUUGUUUAUCAUCAUUAGUUGACUAAAUAGGUCAUGAACCAUAACUAUUGCUUGUAUUCUGUCAGAAUAAGGGCUUUUUAAAUUUGUAUUUCUUGGUCCAUUUUUUGUUUAGCUCGACUAUUUGAAGAAUAAGUAGAGCUAUCCUAUUCAUCACGGCGUUGGCAUCAGUGUCAGCGUCACACCUUGGUUAAUUUUUUCGUACCAUUUCACAUAUCGACAAAACUUUUUGAGGUAAUGCUUUAAAACUUUCAACACUUGUGUACCAUCACCAUGUCAAGUUUUAGGCAACUUGAAGAAUACUUAACUCCAUCAAGCAUUUUGGCUGAAUUAUGGUCCCUUUUGACUUACAAAUCUUGGUUAAGUUUUUCAUACCAGUUCAUAUUUUGUGCAGACUGUUUGAUAUAUGGCUUUGGAACGUUUAUACCA